rnacentral:rRNA from 1 species
UACGUAGGGGGCAAGCGUUGUCCGGAUUUAUUGGGCGUAAAGAGCGUGUAGGCGGCCAAGCAGGUCCGCUGUGAAAACUCGAGGCUCAACCUCGAGACGUCGAUGGAAACCGUGCGGCUAGAGUCCGGAAGAGGAGAAUGGAAUUCCUGGUGUAGCGGUGAAAUGCGCAGAUAUCAGGAAGAACACCCGUGGCUAAGGCGGUUCUCUAGUACGGUACUGACGCUGAGACGCGAAAGCGUGGGGAGCGAACAGG